CCCCUGAACUGUUCCUGAUCAGGGGUGGGCUGCUGCUGCCGCUGAUCCCCGCGGCUGAGGGAAGAGUCUGGUUACCAAAGGCUCGUCUGGGGUUUGCAUAAAAACAUCUGAAGGCUUAAAUUACAGCAAGUUGAUUUGCUCCGAAUCACACAGGGAUUUGGUAAUGAAGCUGAAAAGUCAUUCUCUCAAUGGCCCUUGGCUCAGUAGGACAAUGGCUUCUGCUUUGAACAGACACACCUUGGGAAGCCUGGCAGUGUGCUGUGUGUGUGUGUCUGCAUGCAUAUGUGUGUGUGUGUGUGUGUGUGUGUGUGUGUGUGUGUGUGUGUGUGUGUGUGUGUGUGUGUGUGUGUUUGUGAGUGCGUGCGUGCAUGUGCAUGUGCGUGUGCGUGUGCGUGUGUGAGUGUGUAGGGUGGAGCUGCUCUAGAUUCACAGGCCUAGCUUUUUGAUCUCUGACUGGAAAUCAGACUGGGCAAGUGACAGGCUGAUCGCCAGGGGUCACCAGAAAUGACACUCCUGGUGUUUCACUCUCUUUGGGUGGGAUGAGAUGAUCUGGAAAAAGAUUCUAUGACUGUUUGGUGCCUCGGGCCACAGCUGGGCUAAUUUUCAGUAAUCUUGGAGCGGAAGAGAGAAAUACAGUUGGCAUAUUUUUAAAGCCACAGCUCUCGCUUUGUGCCCAAAAUAACUCUGCCAUUUCUAGGUUAAGAGUAUAAAGGCAUCACGUGCUCCAAAUCCCGAUUCAAACAUUGGAAUGGCUGGUCUCAUACCUUCCCACUUCCCUAGCUUGAAAAAAAAAAAAAUCAAACUUCUUCCAGGGUCUUCCACAACGCAGCCACAGCUCAAGCUUCCUGUUUUCUCUGUUUUAUUUCCUGGCUGCUUAGGUUCUCUAGGAUCUAGAAAAAGGAAUUUCCCUUUAUAGCAUUUCUUCUCAAAAACCUUAUCCACACCCCUCCAUGGCAGCUGACUAUGACACCCUAAGGGAUAAUGCUUAGAAUUCAGAUGUUUCAGAAUGGGGUCACAGAUUUGAAUAAGGACCUCAUCCUCGCUCCUCACAUGCUGUAAAACCUUGAGCAGUCAGUCUCUUGGCUCUCUCAGUGCCUACCAUUUUCAUGUGCAAAACAAAAAUGACAAUAUCCACCUAAUGGGAUUGUGAGCAUUAAAAGAGACAUGGCUCAUAAAUUACAGAGAAGAAUGCCUGGCACAAGGAGACACUGCAAUAAAGAAUAAUUAUCAUUAGUACAAAUACUGCUGUUAGCUUAUUUCUGUGGGCAGGACCUCCAAGAAAUCUCUUUUUCAGGGACCCUCAUCCCAGAGGGUCUGACCUUCUCAGGUGUCACUGAGGGUCACCUUUCCAGUUUAAAAGUGGCUGGGAGGGAGACAAUGAUUUUUCAAGGCCUCUGGAAAUGAUUGCCUAGUUAAGACUUGGAAGAAAGCACUCUAGAUUAGGUAUCAGUGGCCCUGGAAUGCUGGACAGUAGUGACAUGUGCCUUUAACCCAGAACUUGGGAGGCAGAGGAAGUCAGAUCUCUGUUAGUUCUGGGCCAGUCUGGUCUAAAGAACAAGUCCUAGGACAGCCAAAGCCUUGGGCUCAAACAUCAGUGCCACUAAUCUUUCUUCUCAUUUCUUCUAUACUAUUUCUAUAACAUUGCUUUGAUGGUUUCCAUCUAUAAAACAAGUAAAAUACCUUCUUCUCCAGAGCUUUAUUACUUAUGCCACUAAAUAUUUAUUUACAACAAAGUGGUCAUUAUAGCAGGCGAUAAGGAUGUGGAUAUGAGUUGGGAAAGUGAAUACAGACAGGUGUCCUAUUCUUGAAGAGUUACAAUACAGUGAGAGAAAUAAGUGUGUAUAUGAGUUUUAUGGCAGAGUAACUGGCACAAACAUAAUGCUUGCCUUCCUACAGGAAGUGAAAUAGUUUGUCAUUUACAAGUAAAUUCUCUCCUCUCUCUGC
ensembl:processed_transcript Gm10544 predicted gene 10544